GCUCUUGUAGUCUAGUGGCCAAGGAUUCCGCCCUCUCACGGCGGCGACCCGGGUUCAAAUCCCGGCAGGGGCA
rnacentral:tRNA from 1 species